AGCGAACGCUGGCGGCAGGCUUAAUACAUGCAAGUCGAACGCCCCCUUCGGGGGGAGUGGCAGACGGGUGAGUAACGCGUGGGAACAUGCCCUUAGGUUCGGAACAACUCCGGGAAACUGGAGCUAAUACCGAAUGUGUCCGAGAGGAGAAAGAUUUAUCGCCUUUGGAUUGGCCCGCGUCAGAUUAGGUAGUUGGUGGGGUAAUGGCCUACCAAGCCCGCGAUCUGUAGCUGUUCUGAGAGGAAGAUCAGCCACACUGGGACUGAGACACGGCCCAGACUCCUACGGGAGGCAGCAGUAGGGAAUCUUGGACAAUGGGCGCAAGCCUGAUCCAGCCAUGCCGCGUGAGUGAUGAAGGCCUUAGGGUUGUAAAACUCUUUCGCAGGUGACGAUAAUGACGGUAACCUGAGGAGAAGCCCCGGCUAACUUCGUGCCAGCAGCCGCGGUAA
rnacentral:rRNA from 1 species